UACGUAGGUGACAAGCGUUGUCCGGAUUUACUGGGCGUAAAGAGCGCGCAGGCGGUCGAUCAAGUCGAAUGUGAAAGCCCCCGGCUCAACUGGGGAGGGUCAUUCGAUACUGAUCGACUCGAAGGCAGGAGAGGGUAGUGGAAUUCCCGGUGGAGCGGUGAAAUGCGUUGAUAUCGCUAGGAACUCCGGUGGCGAAGGCGAGGUGCUGGACCAUUUCUGACGCUGAGGCGCGAAAGCCAGGGGAGCGAACGGG
rnacentral:rRNA from 1 species